rnacentral:rRNA from 1 species
CAAUAGCGUAUAUUAAAGUUGUUGCAGUUAGAACGCUCGUAGUCGGAUUUCGGGGCGGGCCGACCGGUCUGCCGAUGGGUAUGCACUGGUCGGCGCGUCCCUCCUUCCGGAGACCGUCCCUACUCUUAACUGAGCGGGGGCGGGAGACGGGACUUUUACUUUGAAAAAAUCAGAGUGUUUCAAGCAGGCAGCUCGCUCUUGCAUGGAUUAGCAUGGGAUAAUGAAAUAGGACUUUGGUGCUAUUUUGUUGGUUUCGAACACCGAAGUAAUGAUGAGAAGGGACAGUCAGGGGCACUCGUAUUCCGCCGAGAGAGGUGAAAUUCUCAGACCAGCGGAAGACGAACCACUGCGAAAGCAUUUGCCAGGGAUGUUUUCACUGA